GACGAACGCUGGCGGCGUGCUUAACACAUGCAAGUCGAACGGAAAGGCCCUGCUUUUGUGGGGUGCUCGAGUGGCGAACGGGUGAGUAACACGUGAGUAACCUGCCCUUGACUUUGGGAUAACUUCAGGAAACUGGGGCUAAUACCGGAUAGGAGCUCCUGCUGCGUGGUGGGGGUUGGAAAGUUUCGGCGGUUGGGGAUGGACUCGCGGCUUAUCAGCUUGUUGGUGGGGUAGUGGCUUACCAAGGCUUUGACGGGUAGCCGGCCUGAGAGGGUGACCGGCCACAUUGGGACUGAGAUACGGCCCAGACUCCUACGGGAGGCAGCAGUGGGGAAUAUUGCACAAUGGGCGGAAGCCUGAUGCAGAAACGCCGCGUGCGGGAUGACGGCCUUCGGGUUGUAAACCGCUUUCGCCUGUGACGAAGCGUGAGUGACGGUAAUGGGUAAAGAAGCACCGGCUAACUACGUG
rnacentral:rRNA from 1 species